rnacentral:rRNA from 1 species
AACGAACGCUGGCGGCAGGCCUAACACAUGCAAGUCGAGCGAGCAUUUCGGUGCUAGCGGCGGACGGGUGAGUAACGCGUGGGAACGUGCCCUUUUCUGCGGAAUAGUCCUGGGAAACUGGGGGUAAUACCGCAUACGCCCUUUUGGGGAAAGAUUUAUCGGAGAAGGAUCGGCCCGCGUUGGAUUAGGUAGUUGGUGGGGUAAUGGCCCACCACGCCGACGAUCCAUAGCUGGUUUGAGAGGAUGAUCAGCCACACUGGGACUGAGACACGGCCCAGACUCCUACGGGAGGCAGCAGUGGGGAAUCUUAGACAAUGGGGGCAACCCUGAUCUAGCCAUGCCGGGUGAGUGAUGAAGGCCUUAGGGUUGUAAAGCUCUUUCAGCUGGGAAGAUAAUGACGGUACCAGCAGAAGAAGCCCCGGCUAACUCCGUG